AUCCGGUGUCCGUGUGGCACUGUGAUGAAAGGGAAUCCGGUGAGAGUCCGGAACUGUUCCUGCAGCUGUAAUCCCCCUUUGAAGGGUCUGCUUGUAUAACGCCACUGACGAUGAAGAAUUGAAAAAUUGAAGAAUUGAAGAAUUGAAGUCGUCGGGAAGGUAAAGCAGACUGGGGAGAGUCAGAAGACCUACCGUUUUUAAU
rnacentral:ncRNA from 1 species